rnacentral:ncRNA from 1 species
UACCUGGUUGAUCCUGCCAAUAGUCAUAGGCUUGUCUCAAAGAUUAAGCCAUGCAUGUGUAAGUAUGAACAAAUUCAGACUGUGAAACUGCGAA